rnacentral:rRNA from 1 species
AACGAACGCUGGCGGCAGGCCUAACACAUGCAAGUCGAACGCACCGCAAGGUGAGUGGCGCACGGGUGAGUAACACGUGGGAAUGUACCCUUUGGUUCGGAAUAACGUUUGGAAACGAACGCUAAUACCGGAUGAGCCCUGUGGGGGAAAGAUUUAUCGCCAAAGGAGCAGCCCGCGUCUGAUUAGCUAGUUGGUGGGGUAAAGGCCUACCAAGGCGACGAUCAGUAGCUGGUCUGAGAGGAUGAUCAGCCACACUGGGACUGAGACACGGCCCAGACUCCUACGGGAGGCAGCAGUGGGGAAUAUUGGACAAUGGGCGGAAGCCUGAUCCAGCCAUGCCGCGUGAGUGAUGAAGGCCUUCGGGUCGUAAAGCUCUUUCGCACGCGACGAUGAUGACGGUAGCGUGAGAAGAAGCCCCGGCUAACUUCGUGCCAGCAGCCGCGGUAAU